rnacentral:lncRNA from 1 species
UCGCUUUAUUGUUAACUUGUACCAUUUUUAUUUGCUCUUUUAUGUAUGAAUCUGUAUCUUCAGGAUCAGCAAGUGGUGGGGUAGCAGCUGGCAUAGGAUAGAUCCCCUUUUUGAUGGCUCUCCAAACAUUAACAUCGUAGGCCUUGUCAUUGAUUUCCACACGCACUUUAAUGUGAGAGAAAUGUUGUGAGGGAAAGGGUAAGGUAGUGGUGAUGUUCUUCUUCUUUGGGAGGGGUCUGAUGCAGUUGUAUCUCCUUGUUGAGAGAAAAUGAGAGAGGGAUCCCCUUUUGAGAUCCGCCG